GAACAGACGAGGAGCUUGCUCCUCUAACGUUAGCGGCGGACGGGUGAGUAACACGUGGAUAACCUACCUAUAAGACUGGGAUAACUUCGGGAAACCGGAGCUAAUACCGGAUAAUAUAUUGAACCGCAUGGUUCAAUAGUGAAAGACGGUUUUGCUGUCACUUAUAGAUGGAUCCGCGCCGCAUUAGCUAGUUGGUAAGGUAACGGCUUACCAAGGCAACGAUGCGUAGCCGACCUGAGAGGGUGAUCGGCCACACUGGAACUGAGACACGGUCCAGACUCCUACGGGAGGCAGCAGUAGGGAAUCUUCCGCAAUGGGCGAAAGCCUGACGGAGCAACGCCGCGUGAGUGAUGAAGGUCUUCGGAUCGUAAAACUCUGUUAUUAGGGAAGAACAAAUGUGUAAGUAACUAUGCACGUCUUGACGGUACCUAAUCAGAAAGCCACGGCUAACUACGUGCCAGCAGCCGCGGUAAUACGUAGGUGGCAAGCGUUAUCCGGAAUUAUUGGGCGUAAAGCGCGCGUAGGCGGUUUUUUAAGCCUGAUGUGAAAGCCCACGGCUCAACCGUGGAGGGUCAUUGGAAACUGGAAAACUUGAGUGCAGAAGAGGAAAGUGGAAUUCCAUGUGUAGCGGUGAAAUGCGCAGAGAUAUGGAGGAACACCAGUGGCGAAGGCGACUUUCUGGUCUGUAACUGACGCUGAUGUGCGAAAG
rnacentral:rRNA from 1 species